GAUGAACGCUGGCGGCGUGCUUAACACAUGCAAGUCGAACGGAAAGGCUCCUGCUUGCAGGGGUACUCGAGUGGCGAACGGGUGAGUAACACGUGGGUGAUCUGCCCUGCACUUCGGGAUAAGCCUGGGAAACUGGGUCUAAUACCGGAUAGGACGAUGGUUUGGAUGCCAUUGUGGAAAGUUUUUCGGUGUGGGAUGAGCUCGCGGCCUAUCAGCUUGUUGGUGGGGUACUGGCCUACCAAGGCGUCGACGGGUAGCCGGCCUGAGAGGGUGUACGGCCACAUUGGGACUGAGAUACGGCCCAGACUCCUACGGGAGGCAGCAGUGGGGAAUAUUGCACAAUGGGCGCAAGCCUGAUGCAGCGACGCCGCGUGGGGGAUGACGGCCUUCGGGUUGUAAACUCCUUUCGCUAGGGACGAAGCGCAAGUGACGGUACCUGGAGAAGAAGCACCGGCUAACUACGUG
rnacentral:rRNA from 1 species